GGUUAUAGCUCAGUGGGAGAGCACUUGCCUAACAUGUGUGAGGCACUGGGUUUGAUUCUCAGCACCA
rnacentral:tRNA from 1 species